UGCCGGACCAUGUCCAAGUCCCUUGGAACAGGGUAUCAAAGAGGGUGACAAUCCCGUACUUGACAUGACCACCGGUGCUCUGUGAUACACUUUCUACGAGUCGAGUUGUUUGGGAAUGCAGCUCAAAAUGGGUGGUAAAUUCCAUCUAAAGCUAAAUAUUGGCGAGAGACCGAUAGCGAACAAGUACCGUGAGGGAAAGAUGAAAAGCACUUUGGAAAGAGAGUUAAACAGUACGUGAAAUUGUUGAAAGGGAAACGAUUGAAGUCAGUCGUGUUCUUUGGACUCAGCCGGUUCUUCCGGUCUAUUUCCUUUGAACGGGUCAACAUCAGUUUUGUCCGGUGGAUAAAGGCAGGAAGAAAGUGGCUCCCUCGGGAGUGUUAUAGCUUUCUGUCACAUACACUGGAGGAGACUGAGGACUGCAGCUCGCCUU
rnacentral:rRNA from 1 species